GGCCUGCAUGUCUAAGUAUAAGCAAUUAUACCGCGAAACUGCGAAUGGCUCAUUAUAUAAGUUAUCGUUUAUUUGAUAAUACUUUACUACUUGGAUAACCGUGGUAAUUCUAGAGCUAAUACAUGCUGAAAAUCCCGACUUCGGAAGGGAUGUAUUUAUUAGAUUAAAAACCAAUGCCCCUCGGGGCUCUCUGGUGAAUCAUGAUAACUAGUCGAAUCGACAGGCCUUGUGCCGGCGAUGGCUCAUUCAAAUUUCUUCCCUAUCAACUUUCGAUGUUUGGGUAUUGGCCAAACAUGGUGGCAACGGGUAACGGAGGGUUAGGGCUCGACCCCGGAGAAGGAGCCUGAGAAACGGCUACUACAUCCAAGGAAGGCAGCAGGCGCGCAAAUUACCCAAUCCCGACACGGGGAGGUAGUGACAAUAAAUACUGAUACAGGGCUCUUUUGGGUCUUGUAAUCGGAAUGAGUACAAUUUAAAUCCCUUAACGAGGAACAAUUGGAGGGCAAGUCUGGUGCCAGCAGCCGCGGUAAUUCCAGCUCCAAUAGCGUAUAUUAAAGUUGUUGUGGUUAAAAAGCUCGUAGUUGAACCUUGGGCCUGGCUGGCCGGUCCGCCUCACCGCGUGCACUGGUCCGGCCGGGCCUUUCCCUCUGCGGAACCCCAUGCCCUUCACUGGGUGUGGCGGGGAAACAGGACUUUUACUUUGA
rnacentral:rRNA from 1 species